AGUUGCAGGGUAUAGACCCGAAACCCGGUGAUCUAUCCAUGGGCAGGUUGAAGGUUGGGUAACACUAACUGGAGGACCGAACCGACUAAUGUUGAAAAAUUAGCGGAUGACUUGUGGAUGGGGGUGAAAGGCCAAUCAAACCGGGAGAUAGCUGGUUCUCCCCGAAAGCUAUUUAGGUAGCGCCUCGUGAACUCAUCUUCGGGGGUAGAGCACUGUUUCGACUAGGGGGUCAUCCCGACUUACCAACUCGAUGCAAACUGCGAAUACCGAAGAAUGUUAUCACGGGAGACACACGGCGGGUGCUAACGUCCGUCGUGAAGAGGGAAACAACCCAGACCGCCAGCUAAGGUCCCAAAGUCAUGGUUAAGUGGGAAACGAAGUGGGAAGGCUCAGACAGCCAGGAUGUUGGCUUAGAAGCAGCCAUCAUUUAAAGAAAGCGUAAUAGCUCACUGGUCGAGUCGGCCCGCGCGGAAGAUGUAACGGGGCUAAACCAUGCACCGAAGCUGCGGCAGCGACACAAAGUGUUGUUGGGUAGGGGAGCGUUCUGUAAGCCUGCGAAGGUGUACUGUGAGGUAUGCUGGAGGUAUCAGAAGUGCGAAUGCUGACAUAAGUAACGAUAAUGCGGGUGAAAAACCCGCACGCCGGAAGACCAAGGGUUCCUGUCCAACGUUAAUCGGGGCAGGGUGAGUCGACCCCUAAGGCGAGGCUGAAAAGCGUAGUCGAUGGGAAACGGGUUAAUAUUCCCGUACUGGUGGUAACUGCGAUGGGGGAACGGAGAAGGCUAGGUUGUCCGGGCGACGGUCGUCCCGGUUCAAGCAGGUAGGCAGAGUGAUUAGGCAAAUCCGGUCACUUAAUGCUGAGAUGUGAUGACGAACCACUAAGGUGGUGAAGCAAUUGAUGCCCCGCUUCCAGGAAAAGCCUCUAAGCUUCAGGUUACCAACAAUCGUACCCCAAACCGACACAGGUGGUCAGGUAGAGAAUACUCAGGCGCUUGAGAGAACUCGGGUGAAGGAACUAGGCAAAAUGGUGCCGUAACUUCGGGAGAAGGCACGCUGGCGGUAGGUAAAGUCCCUCGCGGACAGAGCUGAAGCCAGUCGAAGAUACCAGCUGGCUGCAACUGUUUAUUAAAAACACAGCACUGUGCAAACACGAAAGUGGACGUAUACGGUGUGACGCCUGCCCGGUGCUGGAAGGUUAAUUGAUGGGGUUAGCGCAAGCGAAGCUCCUGAUCGAAGCCCCAGUAAACGGCGGCCGUAACUAUAACGGUCCUAAGGUAGCGAAAUUCCUUGUCGGGUAAGUUCCGACCUGCACGAAUGGCGUAAUGAUGGCCAGGCUGUCUCCACCCGAGACUCAGUGAAAUUGAACUCGCUGUGAAGAUGCAGUGUACCCGCGGCAAGACGGAAAGACCCCGUGAACCUUUACUAUAGCUUGACACUGAACAUUGAGCCUUGAUGUGUAGGAUAGGUGGGAGGCUUUGAAGUGUGGACGCCAGUCUGCAUGGAGCCAACCUUGAAAUACCACCCUUUAACGUUUGAUGUUCUAACCUAGGCCCAUAAACUGGGUCGGGGACCGUGUCUGGUGGGUAGUUUGACUGGGGCGGUCUCCUCCUAAAGAGUAACGGAGGAGCACGAAGGUUGGCUAAGCAUGGUCGGACAUCAUGCGGUUAGUGCAAAGGCAUAAGCCAGCUUGACUGCGAGAGUGACGGCUCGAGCAGGUACGAAAGUAGGUCUUAGUGAUCCGGUGGUUCUGAAUGGAAGGGCCAUCGCUCAACGGAUAAAAGGUACUCCGGGGAUAACAGGCUGAUACCGCCCAAGAGUUCAUAUCGACGGCGGUGUUUGGCACCUCGAUGUCGGCUCAUCACAUCCUGGGGCUGAAGUAGGUCCCAAGGGUAUGGCUGUUCGCCAUUUAAAGUGGUACGCGAGCUGGGUUUAGAACGUCGUGAGACAGUUCGGUCCCUAUCUGCCGUGGGCGUUGGAAGAUUGAGAGGGGUUGCUCCUAGUACGAGAGGACCGGAGUGAACGCACCACUGGUGUUCGGGUUGUCAUGCCAAUGGCAUUGCCCGGUAGCUAAGUGCGGAAGAGAUAACCGCUGAAAGCAUCUAAGCGGGAAACUUGCCUCGAGAUGAGUCUUCCCUGUCGCUUUAAGCGACCUAAAGGAACGUUUAAGACUAAGACGUUGAUAGGCUGGGUGUGUAAGCGUAGCGAUACGUUGAGCUAACCAGUACUAAUGAACCGUGAGGCUUAA
rnacentral:rRNA from 1 species